rnacentral:rRNA from 1 species
UGCCAGCCGCCGCGGUAAUACGAACCGGACAAACGUUAUUCGGAAUUAUUGGGCUUAAAGGGUGCGUAGGCGGUGCGGUAAGUGAGGUGUGAAAGCCCACGGCUCAACCGUGGAAUUGCGCUUCAUACUGCCGUGCUAGAGGGAGACAGAGGUAAGCGGAACUGAUGGUGGAGCGGUGAAAUGCGUUGAUAUUAUCAGGAACACCGGUGGCGAAAGCGGCUCUCUGGGUCUCUACUGACGCUGAGGCGUGAAGGCGUGGGUAGCGAACGGGAUUAGAUA